rnacentral:rRNA from 1 species
GACGAACGCUGGCGGCGUGCUUAACACAUGCAAGUCGAACGGAAAGGCCCAGCUUGCUGGGUGCUCGAGUGGCGAACGGGUGAGUAACACGUGGGUGAUCUGCCUCUAACUUCGGGAUAAGCAUGGGAAACUGGGUCUAAUACAGGAUAGGAAAAUCGUUUAGUGUCGGGUGUGGAAAGUUUUUUCGGUUAGGGAUGAGCCCGCGGCCUAUCAGCUUGUUGGUGGGGUAAUGGCCUACCAAGGCGUCGACGGGUAGCCGGCCUGAGAGGGUGGACGGCCACAUUGGGACUGAGAUACGGCCCAGACUCCUACGGGAGGCAGCAGUGGGGAAUAUUGCACAAUGGGCGCAAGCCUGAUGCAGCGACGCCGCGUGGGGGAUGACGGCCUUCGGGUUGUAAACCUCUUUCGACAGGGACGAAGCUUUGGUGACGGUACCUGUAUAAGAAGCACCGGCUAACUACGUG